UGUGUGUGUAGGCUGGCACUACCUUGUGUGUUUAGGGUGGCACUGACCUGUGUGUGUAGGGUGGCACUAACCCCUCUGUGCCCAGUGAAGGUUAUAAAAAUAAGUGGCAAUAGACCCGCCCACAGGUGGUGCUAGACACGCCCUUUAGGUGGAGCAUGACAUAUUUCCUCGGCGGUGUACCAUGCAAACUCGAAUAUCAUCUAGAAUCUCCCUGAAACUAGUUUUCUAAAGUAAGCAAGUAUGUCGCAGCCUUAAUGCUGAAAUCACACCUUUGCAUUUUUCCCCCUAGAAUGGGAGACAUUGGUGAAAGUGAAGUAAAAUUAUAGUUAUUUGAGACUUCCAAAGUUUCCUUACUCUGCUCUUAUAAUGAAUCCAUAAUCUGAAUCCCCUCUAAUAUACUUAAAUCUGUCAUCCACUAUCUUGUCUCUUGUUUCACUACAGCUCCCGCUUCUUUUAACCACAAGAUAUACUUUGAAUUGCUCGGCCUAAAGAGGAAGAGUAAAGAUGUCACGAAAAAGGUUUUCCAUAUGCUGGAUCAAGACCAGAGUGGAUUUCUUGGGGAGGAUGUGCUCGGUCUUAUAAUGAAAGGAUUCUCCCCUGAAGGAAGAUCUCUUACUGAAAAGGAAACCAAGGACGUCCUAGCCGAUGGUAACAAAAAUGGAGAUGGCAAAAUUAGUCUGGAUGAGUUCAUAACCAUGGUGUCUGAAUCCUAAGUCACUGAAGCUCUGUUGUUAUUUGUGCACAGCGUUCACCCUCCUUAAAAGCCAAAUUGUUUAUUGCUCCUGUUUUAUACUCCACCUCUGGUCCCUGCCUCCGGGAUGCAAUAAAGGGC